rnacentral:lncRNA from 1 species
AAGGAUUCACCUUCCUUGGCGCGAAUCCACCGUUGGAUCGCACAAGCUGCGCAGACGGAGAGUUCGGAGUGCCUUGAGAUCUAUGCGGGGCGCGGUGAACGUCGCGAAAGAAAUCGCUCGUUCUUUCGCGCGAAAGAUACAAUCCGAAACCAGGGGAGGGGAUGGCCGUACGAUCGCACCAUGGGGGUUUUCUUUUUUAAAUUUAUUUAUUUGAAUGGAAAGAUCGGGCUGUCGGGUUGACGGAAUCUCUCGGCGACGUUGGGAUGCCGUGGAUGCAAAGGAAGGCGCUUCUUUCCUAAGAAGUGGUGUGAUAGGUUUGUUUUUAUUAAUUUAUGAUAAUUUGAGGAUAACACAAGAG